rnacentral:rRNA from 1 species
UACGUAGGGGGCAAGCGUUGUCCGGAUUUACUGGGCGUAAAGGGCGCGUAGGCGGCCACCGCAGGUCAAUUGUGAAAUCUCCGGGCUCAACCCGGAACGGUCAACUGAUACUGCGGGGCUAGAGUGCAGAAGGGGCAACUGGAAUUCUCGGUGUAGCGGUGAAAUGCGUAGAUAUCGAGAGGAACACCUGCGGCGAAGGCGGGUUGCUGGGCUGACACUGACGCUGACAGCGCGAAAGCUAGGGGAGCGAACGGG